UUGAUGAACGGAGGCAAAUAGAACCGUGAGUAAUGAUCAGUUAUUAUUGACUGCCACACUUUCAAAUCCAGUUUGACAAUCUGAUUUAUUAAGAAAAAGAUAUUAAUCUAUUUCAGUAAAUCCUUGCAUGAUUGUAUAAAUGAAUGGUGUAAGCUAUGGAUCCAUGGAUAGAAUGUCUCAAUUUUUUAAUCAUCUGCUCUGCUCUCUGCUUUUCAGAAUGGACGUGCUUGUGCUGAUUUAAGGAUUCUUCCAGAAUCCCAAGCUGUAUGGUUGCGUCUUUGUAUCAGGAGCAUGGAGAACAUCGUGAGUAAUGAAGUUCUUGACGUGGUUUAGGUGGGUUCUAAAAAAUUAUUCACUGUGUUAUUAAAAAGUAUUGCAUAUAAUCAAAGAGUCCCAACCAUACUGAUGUUUAGUAUCAGAUUAACAUGAACCUUGACAUUGAGUAAGCCGUCAGUGGACAUUGAUUUCUGUUCAGUGAAAGAGACAGUUAAAAGGAAUGACUACAGGGGGAUGUUAUGGGAUAUUCAAGAAUCUUAUUUUGCAUUAAUGAAUGAAUAAGCAAAUAUAGAUGAGACUGCAAAGAAAGAUGGCCAGUCAUGGUCUAAAGAUGGUGAGUGUCCUAUGUCAUAUGUGAGAAAUUCUGUGUGUCUGGAACUUUGAGGUCCAGCACCAAAGGUCUCUAGUACACUCACCCUGUUUUAAGGGACUGUAAAUAGAUUUCAGGAUUAUACAGUGAUCUUCUUCUUGGUCUUUGCGUUCAUGAAUUUUAAAAAUAUAAUUAUAAAAGAAUCCAUGGCAGAAUAAAUUAGCAAAUGUGUAAAUGAAUAAAGAUGAAGAGGGUGAAGCAUUGUUCAUCAAUAAAAUAUGUAGUCAGGAAAUGAAUAUUAAUAUAUAUAUUGGAAUAGAUAAUAAAGGGCCCAAAUAUAUUAUGUCGUGAAUUAAGCGUGAUAUGGACAGUGAUAAGUAGUAGUUACUGCCCUGAGUCCGUUGCGGGUUUGAUAUUUAUUGUACUGAAAGAAAAAUAAAAAUUCCUGUGGAUUAAUAAACACAGGGUUAUGCACAUGGAGGAUGGAAAGUGUGGGUAAAAGGGGAGAGAAGAAUGUCUCAACUUUUUUUUUAUCAUUGUGUCUGCUGGGUACCCCUCAGAACGGCUGCAUCAAACUGAUCUUAGGUUCUGCCGCAGUCAAGAUUAUGUUGCCUAAUGUGUUGUCUACCAUGGACCAUUAGCAGAUGCUGAAAAGAGAACAGGUAAGUGAUAGCGUCGCCAAAACUCCACCUCUGUCCACUGGUGCCAAAUACAAAUGCGGAGCCAGAGUUGUGCCCAAAGGAUAAACAACUAUCUUUAUGGCUUUGCCAGGCAAAGGGGCCAUGGCAGGCUAAGGUCCUAAAGCCUGUGCCCUCCCUUUGGAAGAGAAGAGGAAGUGGUUCUACAGUUUGGCAGCAGGAAGUAGGGCCACUGAUCAGGAUCCGGUUAAGUGCGAGCUUGCACUCUUCUUCAAAGGUGUUUAGUGGCCCAGGGCUGGUUCUGGUGGUUGUCUUCUCUUGUUUACAUUUUUGGGGGGUUUUAAUGAUGCAGAACUCAAAGGUAUUCCUAUCUAUAGUCCUUGAGGAGGAACCAGGACCCUGCCCCAAGGCUGCAUUGUUGUUUCUCGAUGGCUCCUCCCUGGUCUCUGCAUCCCCUCCCUUCCCUGAUUAGCAACUGUUUGAACCCGUCCCUAGGAACUCAGGGAAGGUCGUGGAGGCUCAAGUUUACUCUCUAAAAACAAGAAAUGGGGGACACAGAAAGCAGAGCCCACAGGGUUCUGCUUGGUGUCAACAGUAGUCAAAGAUCUCAUCUUGCUUACAGUCAUUUGUUUAAGUGCAUUCCUGGCGUUAUUAAAACGUAUGAAAUACGCUUUUGAUGAAGUUACCCAUUGCCCAAUAAGAGAUGUCAUAGGAAACAUCCUAUGGGCUAAUUGAUGCUGAAGGCAUUUAAUGAAAAAGUAUAGUACAUGUGGGAAAAGAUUCUACAGGCAGACUUUAAGAAUAUCUAAGGGUCUUGUUCUUGGGUUUUCUUAAAUAAUGUGUUUCUGUUAAUAUCCAUGAAUUGAUGAUUUAAUCGAUACACAUGUGAAACAAAUGAAGAAAAUGAGGGGCUAACGUGGACCGUUAACAGGUGAUGAGUAAUACAUGUAUGGGACUCUGAAGUUCAAAGUGAGACCUUGUCUAUUCCCUCUGUUUGAAAUGAUCCUGGGGCAGAUGUCAGUAGUAUACGAAUAUCAUGUCCUUAUUUUAGAUUCAUAGAUUUAGAUUUACUGUUAGUCGUGACGCAACGAUAGAACCAGUCAACAAAUAUAAAUCAGUAAAGAGGAAGGUGAAGCAUUUUUCAACAUGAACAUAUGUGGUGAGGCAAAAAAUACUACCAGUUAACAGAAAACAUUAAUGUUCAUUAAGAAAGAAUUCCAGAAUGUCACCUCUUUGGUUUAGGAUCACAUAGACAUUGCCUAGUAAGAGCCAAUUUUUGGUCUGGAUAAGCGCCAAGUUUGAAGUUAUUCCUUUUAUAAACAAACAAAAAAAAAGAGAUUCAUUUUGGAAAAGUAAUAAAUACCUCAAUGAGUAAUGGAAAUACAGAAAUCAAGGAUCAAUGGAGAUGAGGUCCGAUUUUUUUUUUUUUUUUUUAAAUUUCUUGGUCUGCUUUGUACUCUUCAGGAUAAAUGCGCUGGAGUAGAUUUAAGCAUCUCCCAUGGUCAGGGGCUCUUUGGACGCGUCUGUGUUAGGAGCCUCAAGACCCGUAACAGUCCGUCUUGUGCUGAUUUUAGCACUCUGCCCUGGCCUCAUACUCAGUGGUUUCUUAGGAGCGUGGAGAUCGUAACGGACAGGCGCUGAUAAUCAUGCCGCAAUGAUCAAGACCCACAUGGUUCAAGGAUGUGUGCCCCACAGCUGAUUAAAUUAUUCCCCAGUCAUGGAGAGCCGCCACCUUGUUCCUCGGAGAAAGGGCCAUGUCAUGUCAUGUGAGUAAUAAAGUUCUUGGUUUGGGUGGGGAGCGCCCGGGCUUCUAUGGAAUCAUUAAAAAAGAGGAAAUGUACUUAAACGUGUCCAUGUCAUGCAUAGAGCACGCGCGGAUGAGCAUGUGCUGGGAACCAGCAUUUAUGAUGAAUGCAAUUUAGCACAGACGAGGCCCCCGAUGACCCCGUAGCUUUCCUUUGUUUCAAAACGGAAGCAUCUCAUUUUAUGUUUGUCGCAUUGGUUAUUUAAACAUCCUCCUCUUGAUAAAAACCCAGGCAGCUGCUCAUUUAGGGAGUCGGUACUCGGUUGUGGAGUAAGAUGGCAGGUUCACGGCUGUUCUUUGUAACGUCUGAAACUUGUUCGAAUUAAAUGCGGAAGGGGCACGCCUGGACCAAUGAUGUAAAGGGAAUGCAUCUGAAUAAAAAUUAUGAUCAGUCAUGUUUGAACCACUGAGGUCCACGGCGAAAAGAGAGCUGGUGUAUAACUUGCGGGGGGGUGACCUCAGGGAAGUGAGACUCUAGUUGAGAGGGUUCAUGGACAUUGGUUUUAUAUUACUACUGGAUAAAUGAAUGGGUCAAUAAACAGAUACGUGUGAAAGAAAAGAAAGAGGUCAGAACACAGACCAAUUUUGAAGCUGUGAAAGAAAACAAGGAAUAUUACUUCAGUUCUGUAACACCUUGGUCCAUUAAGAAAACAUAUACCUGAAGUGUUACCACUUUAUGUUAGAAGCAGCUAAAAAGAGGUGUUUAAUAGUCAAUGCUUUGCUCUUAGUUUGAAGUAGAUUACUAGCUGUUUGACUCAGGAAGAAAUGAGGAUUAAACAAAUGGUUAACUAAGUGGAUGGGUGCAAAAUAUGAACCAUUGAUGGAUGUAUUGUAUUCUUUUUGACAUCUGCUUUGUGCCCCAGAAUGGCUGCACCUUGUUUGUUUCCGUCCUUAUUUAAUGAUGAAGAUCUUGGCUCUUACCUUUGUGGCCAAGGAGAGCAGAGAGAUUGGGGAAAGGUAGCAGUGUGUGCCCUUGGAGAAGCCACCGGGACCCUCCACGUUCCACUGCCAUCGUCCUUAAAAGGGAAGUCAAUUUCAUUCAUUCUGCAGACACCUUCAAAGGGCUCUGAGCUGGGCACGUGAGUGAGCACAUGACCCCAGCGUGGCACUCUUGGACCCCGGGGUGCGUGCGCAUUGUGUCACACGUCCUGCGCCCCCAAACCCGAGAGGUGCUGCCAGUUGUCCCUUCGCGGAGGGUCCUUCCUUUCACCGACUGAGUCUUGGGCUGGAGCCCGUGACUGCCCGGCUUGGCCUCAGUUUCCCCGUCUCUAGACCUAGAGCAAGGCUGAUGACCCCAGGUCCCCCAUCGCACCGUGUCCGCGCGGAGGGGAGGAAAGACCUCUCCCCGUUUCACUGCGGUCCUGACCCUCCUCUUUUCUGUCCUUCCGGACCCCUGAGCCUCAGUUGCAAUUUGGGGGCCAGUUUGAUUUUCUUUUCCCUCUGAUCUGAGGCGUCUCCUACCAGCACGUGUUUUUUUUUUUUUUUUUUUUUUUUUUUUUUUUUAACUCAGCACAAGGAGAGUCCGGCGAACUUGGCAGGGGCUGGACCUCAUGCCCAGCAGAUAUUCCCGGAGUCGGCAGGCGCUACUGCCCCUUUGUCGAGGUCCCUGUGCCCCUUGGGUCACUCUGCUGCUUUUCUGCAUCUCUGCGCCUCUGCCCGCUCCCGUUCAUACCCGCCCUCUCUAUACCCACCAGUCCCUCCCCUCUGCCCCCACUGCUCUGCAGGUCAUGUAUCCAAAUAUUCAGUACCCGGCAUGGUCGGCCCACACGCCUUGGCUCAGCUGUCAAUCCAGCGGGUGGCGCUCAUCAGACUUGAAGGAGCCAAACUUAAAGGGGGGGGGUCCCACCAAAGGAGUCCCAGAACUGCAGAGGGCCACUGAGUCCUUCACUUCACACCUCUCCCUGCUCUUCCCCCCCCACCCCGCUCCUUCCCUCCACCCCUUCUCAGGGACUGCAUUGUAUGCAGAGGCAGAGGAGGGGGCUGUGGGGCGGGGUUGCCUGGAGACGAGGUCCCCCACCUAGUGGCCAUUCUCUGGGAUGCGGCAGGGCACAGAGGAAAGAUGACCUAGAAAGUGCUGGGCAGAUGUUGGAGAAAGGAGGGAGGGGGAGGCCCUUCUUGGACCCCCAGCCCACCUCGGCCCUCCCUUCCCCCAUCUCCCCUGGAGUGGGCUAAGCCGGUGGGUCUUGCUGUGAAGCCCCCAGUGCUGCAGGGGGCUCAUCAUUGCCCUUCUUGCGGAGAAGCAAACUGAGCUUAGGGGAGCAUGGCGAACCCAGCCCUGCCCUGAGCUCAGUGUGUGUCCCCUGGCCCCAGGUAGGGAAGUGUGGGGCAGGGGAUGCUCUGUGCCCAGAGCCUGGGUGUCUGCCACCUCCCUCUGUGGGAGCAGAGGCACUGUCCCCUCUCAUGUGUGGGUUUGGGUCCUGAGAGCAUCACAGCACAUGUUCAUGCUUUGUUCAUCAGGACAAGAGAACUUGAAACUUUCCUGGCCAGGUUUACCCAUUUGGUGGCCUUUCAUGAAAUCCCUGCAGGGCAGCAUCUGGAAAAUUCACUUCCCUGCUCCUGACAGUUGCCCCAAAUAGCAUGUUUCAAGUCGCAGACACACGGGUUUGCUUCUGGCCCGGCCCAUCAGGGGCGAGGGUCCAGGACCCCCUGUGGCCAACCUGAGCUUGCCCACCGCCCCAGAGCCCCCAACCCCUGGCCUCCACAACCUCAGGGAGAACCCCAGUGGGGCCUUCUCUGUUGUUGAGAGCAGCCCUCUUCUUUCCCAGCAGAGAGAGCCUGGCUGAGCGUGGCUCCCAGGCCGGAAUGGAGUGCAGAUCCCUGCUGACCCGGGCAGGCAGUCAAUAGCUCUGAACCUAGGGUCGGGGGGAGUUACCAGGAUGGGCCUCAGCCUCCAAUGUCAGGGUGAAGGGGCGUCCCCGGGACGUCUGCUCCACCCUGGGGGAGGCACGCUACAGUUAGUGUCCUGGCUCUGGGUUGGAGCUCUGGCGGGCUUCUGCAUGUGCAUUAAAUUCUUUAAAAGUUGAAUAAAGAGAAUAAAAUGAAAGAGCCAUUCAUGGACCAGCGAUGACUAGUGCCAUGGAAUGAAGACGGAACAGUCCAAUUCCGUGCGUCCUUGAAUGCAGUGGACAGUAGCAGUAAUACCAGCAAUAGUGGUAACUGGCUGGGUAGAAGUCAGGGGCCCCGCCCCGAUCGGCUGGGCCAGUCCCAGAGACCCCUGGGCUCUUUAUCUCAGUGACUGUCCCAGCUGCUGGAAACCGAGGUCCCCUUCCCGUUCCUCGCCUCCGCCUGUUUCCAGCCCGUUUCUCCAGUUUCCCCAGUUCACACCUCCCCUCACCCCCCAUGAUCGGCCCCACGCGGAGCUCCAGCCUUGAAUUCCAUGGCCGUUCAUUUCACACUGGGCUAUGAGCUUCCCACGGGCAGGAGCCAGCUCUGCCCCGGCCUCACACCCCCCGCCUCCAACCCUGGGUGGAUGCAUCCCGUUGGUCAGACCUGCGACACGCGCUCACUCCGUUGGGUUCGGCUUUGUGACUUGGUCCCCUCGCCCUGGAAGGUCCAUCCUCGUGGAGCGUGGCAGUGAGGUCCCUUGAACGCAAGACUCUGGGGAUACGUCUGUGGAUGGGUGGAGCGCCUGCUUCGCUGGGUGAGUUAUGCUUUCCUUGGCUAUGUUCUGAGCGGCAUACGGACCUGUGACGGGGGGUGCAGGCUUGGUCUUGAGAACGUAAAGACUAGAGGUGAUCAGAGGAGGGCGAAGGGCUGGAGCGUGCGGAGGGCCUCAGAGGGCCCGCAUGCCCAAAAUGCCCAGAGGCCAGGCCGGUCCUGGCAGCUGCUUCCCGGAGUGGAGGACAAAGCCACUCAGAAGUUACCCAGAGUGAAGAGGCGAGGUCAGCAGGGGCUCGACCCUGGACAGCUGGCCCUCAUCUCUGGGCCCACCCAGGUGGCCACUUUGCAGCUGACCAGACACCAGUCCUUUAGGGCAGCUUGAGUUGGGGCCUGGGGCCACCUUCACACCCCUGCCCCAAGUGAGUCUCUUUCACACAUUAUGCAUAUAAUUGUGUUUUGUCAACUCAUUUCUGUAGUGGAGAAUAAAUAAGGGGGAGCCAUGGGUGUUUUCCCCAUGAAAAAUACUAAGGUCAUAACUAAAAUUUAUUACAUGUAAUGAUUCUCGAGAAAGGAAAUCCAUGUUUAUUGUAAAAGCUUGUAAAAUGCUAAAAAGAACAAGAGGAAGAAUAGGAGUCACCCUGGCCUUGCCACUCAGAGAUGACCACUGCCAACGUUUUGGUGAUCAGCCUCUGGUCUUUUGUUUUACAUAAGGGUGUGUGUGUGUGUGUGUGUGUGUGUGUGUGUGUGUGUGUGUGUACAUAUGUAUGUAUAUUUUUAAUUGGAUUUAUCAUAGUUGUCCUAAUUUUUCACCUGACUGUAUAUACAUCCUGAACAUUUUCUCAUGCCGUAAAGUAGUUUCCCAUCUCAUGGUUUUUUUAAAUGAUGCCAAUAUCCUAAGCUAUUUCAUAAUUGAUUUAAUGGAUCCACUCUUGUGAGAUAUUUACAUGCUUUUUAGAAGUUGGAUGCUGUGAGUUAGGAUGAGCAACGUUGUUUAUGCAUCUUCACAAAUGUCUCUGAUUAUUUUUCCUGCAGUGCAUUCUAAAGGUGGAAUGGCCGUGUCAAAAGAUGUGAGCAUUUUAUGGCCAGAUUCCCUCCUUAACCUUUGUACCAACUUACAUUCUCAGAAUGAGUUUAAGAAGCAGCUGUUUCUCUGGGAAUUAUCAAGGUUUUGAACAUUUGCCAAUUUGUCAAAACAUAAUUUCAUUCUUUUCAUUUUCUGUUCAUUUAGUACCUGUGAUAAGAACAUUUUUCCCCUCAUACCUUCGUUGGUUCUGUGUAUCCGAAUUGCCAGUGAAGUUUCUUUGCAUUUUUCAGUUUUCAUUUAGUUUUAUUUUUGUCAAAGUCAUGCAUAUACCUCAUUCGAAGAGUCAAAUCAUUUUUUUUAAACAAGGUUUUGUAGAAGCAUCAGAGCUCUAGCUUUCCACUCCAACCCCAUAGCCUGCUCCACAGAAGCAACAGCUUUUAAUUGAUUGUCUCGAUACUUUUUUUAUUUGACUCUUUUUUUUAAAUUUUUUUGUUAUGGUUGAUUUAUAGUGUGUCUUGACACUUACAACCCUGUUUCUGAUAACAUUUUUCUAGUUAUCCAAAAACUUUUUUUUUUUUUUUAGUGUAGGCAUUACCUUGACUUUUCAAUAGAAGAUGAAGGUUCGAAUUCUCUUCCAGAAGUGCCUUGGCCUCACCACACACAAGAACAGCUCUCUGUCCCAUCCUUUCAGUAUCUUUAGUUCACAAUUUCGGUUUGGUCAAUCAUCAGUGUUUCUGUUAUUAAAACAGUGCAAACACUCUUGAUAGCUGAAUGGCAGCAUGAAGGUUAUUUACUUCUUAUGGCUUUUUGUUUUCUCUGGAGUUAAUAAUUGUUUUGGUUUUUGUGUGUGUUUUCCCUUCACUCUUUGACUGGUUGCCUAGUUGUUAAUGAACCUAACUUGGCACACAGUUAUCCCGAGCCCCUCCAUACAUCCAAUCCCAUUAGCAUUUGUUUUGUUUUGUUUUGUUUUAAUUUCAAGUGGUUUGAAGAAACCUCUCCAUGGAGCCUCCUUGGCUGUUCUGGAUUGCUUGAUCUUCAGGCUUCGUGCCCUCAUCUUGGGAUGUCCUCCUCGUUUUCUUCCGGAGGAUUCCCUUGACCAUCACUCCGUGGUUGGAUUCCUGAUGUUGUAAAGCCCAUGUUAUCCUUUUUGUUUGUUUGUUUCCCCCCCCCCCCCAUUUAGCUAGAGUGCAUCUUCUGGUAGUUUCCUGAGAAAAGGUUCACGUGAGGUGAAAUGUUAGGGACCUCUUACGUGUGAAAAGGGAAACGCCUAUCCCACACUGAUGCUGAUGGUUUGACUGGGUAUAGACUUCCAGUUGGUACCUUUUUUCCCCUCAGAUUUGGAAAGCAUGAAGAGUUGUCGUCUAACUUUGAGGGCUGUUGAUAAGUCUGCAAGCUCUGUGACUCCUCAUCCUCUGAAUGGGACCUUUCCCCUUCCUGCCUGAACUUGUGUUUUCUCACUGUCUUCUCAUGUUUGGAGUUUCGUGUGUAUCUGUCUUGAUGUAGAUCUACGUUCAUCUGUUUUGCCAGGCCCUUUUGAUCUGAAAAUGAGUGCCCUUCUGUUGUAGGCAGUUUUCUUGAACAAUUCCUUGGAUAAUGUCCUUCUGUUUUCUCUUGCUAGAAUCUAUAUUGUUUGUAUGUUGGAUCUCUUUAACUAGUGCUUUACAAUUCAUGUAUUUUUUCCUCUGAUUUUCAUCUCAAUCUCUUUGUUUCCUGAGAGAUUUAUCUGUCUUCAUCUUUUAACCUCUUUUCAUUUCUGCAAUAUCUGAUUUUCAAGAUUUUAAAAUUAUACCCUAAAUAUUACUUUAUAACAGUUUCUUUCAUGGAUGGAAUUGCUUCUUUGAUUGUCCUUUUAAUAUUAAUAAUAGGUUUUCUGAAAUUUUCUUUCUCUUAAAGAGUCUCCAAGCUUGUUUCUUUCUUUUCUUCCUUCUAAGUGUUUCUCUAACUUUCAUGUUAGGUGCUUUGCUCAACUCUCUGGUCAUAUAGAGAGAUAUAUAGAUAUAGAUGAUAUAGAUAAAGGUAUAGAUUUAUAUAUGUUUAUUUAAAUUUGAUAUGUAAAUAUAUAUAUGAAAGCGAGUGGGUGAACAUCUAUAUUGACCACAUUGAACUCAAAAUUGUGUACCUAUUUUUUUCCUCUGUGUAUCUUUUAUUUUUAAUUUAUAAGACCUUUCAAAAUAAGAAUGGCGAUUUUUCUUUCCACCCUAUAUUACCAUUUUUCCCCCAGUUUUCAUUUGCCAUUCCAUUUUGUUUGUGGAGCUUUUCAAUUUUUCAUUUAAAAAAUUUAUAUUCAAAAAUCUAUUACCAAUUAUUUCUUUUCUUUAUUUCUAUUUUUUCUUCUUUGCUUAGAAAGACCUCUCCUACCCCAGGCUCAUCUAAUUAGUCACUUUAAUUUUUUUCUAGUUCUUUCAUGAUUUCAUCUUUAUAUUGACUCUUUAAUCCUUUCGUUAUUGUGAGAAGCAGCUGUGUGCCCCAUUUCCACAUUUACAAUAUGCUAGAUACUUCUGUAGUUUUUGUUUCUUGCUGUGGCUCUCUAUUAUGCCAUUAAUCUCUCUAUUCUUACCCUAGUAUUGAUUUGUUAUAAUAUAUUGCAUUGUUAUAACAAAUAUUAUUAUUUGAUAGCAGUAGUCUUUUUUCAUUCUUGUUUUUCUUGAUUCGUCUCACUUGUUUAUUCUUCCAGGUGAAUUUUAGUGAUGCGAUGAGGUUAAAACCAUUCAUUAUAGAUUUUCUGUGGAACUUUAUAAAAUUGUAAAUUAAAGAGAAUUGAUAUUUUUGAUAUUUGGGCUUUGCAUAUGUUACACUUUGAUAUAUACACAAUUUGUCAACUUUGACACAUUCACAGUUUGUCAUUAGGUGUAUUUCAAGGAAUUAAGUAUUGCUUCUAUUAUGAAUGUUUUCUUAUAUUUUCUAACUGGUUAUUACUGGUAUGUAGGGAAGAGAUUGUGUAUUUAUUGUUAUUGUCUCUCUCGUUGAAUUCUCUGAUAUGUUUUAUAAUUUUUAGUUGAAUGUUUUGGAAUUUCUAGGUAAAGAGUCAUUCAUAUCUAUAGCAUUAUAUCAAAUUUGAGAAAUAUUUUAUCUCUUCUAUUUCUCUUUUUUGUCUUAUCAUAUUGGCUAGAUCUUCCAAAACAUGGAAUUGCUGAUAAUGGAAAUCUUUGUCUCAUUUCUGGCUCAUGUUAAGUAUGAUGACACAUAAUUUUUUAGGCUGUAUGUUUUUUAUAAUGCUAAUGAAGUAUUUAUUUCUAGUUUAUGUAUGAUUAAAAUUGGGAAUGGAUUUAGCGUUUUGUGAAAUUUUUUGAUAUCUGUAGUGAUAUUCUUGUUUUCUCUGUUGACCUGUUGAUGCAAUGAAUUAUAAUAAUGUUUCAUAACUCUGAAACAUUUUUGAAUCAAAUUCUACCUGGUUAUGGCAUAUUGUUCUUUAAUAUACUACAUGAUACUACAUGAUUUGCCCUGCUAGUAUUUCAUUUAGGACUUCUCAAAUUAAUUUUUUGUUCACUUGAUAUCAGAGUUAUGCUGGCUUUGUAAAAUGAAUCAGGGGACAUUCCAUCCUUUUCUAUAUUCUGUACCAUACAAACAUCAUUUAAAUGAUUUAUUCCAUGAAAGCUUGAACGAACUCAGCCAUAUAACUCUCUUGUAAUAAUUCUGGCAACUUUUCCUAUUUCUUCUGUAUUUAUUGGAUUCCUUUAGGUUUUUCUACAUCUUUAGAAUGUUUGCUUCUUUUUCUAAUACAACUCAAUGUUUAAAUGUGCAGAGACUGGAAUCAGACAACUUGGGUUCAAAUUCCUGCUCUGUCAUUUCUCAUGUGACCUCAGGAAAACUAUGUCUUCUCCCUAAUUCUUAGUUUCUGCAUUUGUUAAAUGGUUAAUGAGAGCAUGUAGCUAAGAGGGCCACUGUGAGCAUUAAAGAGAUAAAGUAUAUUGCACUGCGCCUGACACAUAGUGAGUGCUCCAUGAUUUUUUUAAGCUAAUAUUAAUCCGAGAAAAUAAUCUAUUUUUCUGAGAUUUAAAUAUUUCUUAGAAUAGACUUAUAAAUACUAUUUUAAAAUAGAAUUUAUCUAUUUCUAUGACUAUGUCAUCUUUUUCAUUCUCAAUUUUGCGUAUGUGUACUUUAUCUCUUUUUUACUAGGUGAGCUAGAGGAGCGUCUGUUUUAGAGGUUUUUCGAGGAAUUAGUUCUUGGAGUAAUUUGUCAAUUUAACUGUUCAUUUGUGUGUGUGUGUGUGCACGCACACAUAUUCAAAUUCAACAAUAUCUGCCUUUAUCUCUGUUGAUUCCUUCCUUCUGCUUUUCUUAAGCUUGUUUUAUGGAUCUAUCCUCAUGUCCCUUAUGUUAUUCUUCUUUAAUAAUGAAAACAUCUCACAGUAUGAAUUUGCCUCUGGUUGCAAUUUUGACUGCAUGUUAUAUGUUUUAAUAUGUAGUCUUUUCAAUAUUUUAAAAUAUUUGUAAUUGUGCUUUUCAUUUCUUUUUGUUCUUAGAAGAAAUGAUUAUCUGAAUUAAAUGUGCAAAAGUAGAGCUUUUUUAAAAUUAAUUUCUAAUUUAUUUGGGUUGUGUAUUGUUGCUUAUAUCUUUUUAUUCAAUUUUGGUCAUAUUCCAUUGUGGAUUGAGAAUGUGGACACACAAAAAUUCUACUUUGGGGAAUUUACGGAUGUCUUCUUUGUGCCUUAUAUAAUCAAUUAUGUGAAUGUUUCACAGGCCUUUCAAAGUAAGAUAUGCAUCUUCUUUAUAGGAUACAGAUUUUGGUGCAAAGACAUUUAGCUUUACUAUCUCUUCAGUUGAUUCUUUGGGAUUUUCUUGGUAAAGAGUUAAGUAAUCUAUACGUAACCAUAUUUUAAACCUCAUUCUAAUAGUUUAGAACAUUUAUCUCUUGUUUUGUUAUACUGGUCAGCGCUUUUUGGAGCAUGUUAACUAAUAUUGAUGAAGCAAGCAUCUUUUCUUCAUUUCUCAUUUUUUGUUCAGUAUGAUUUUGCUUGCCUCUAGGUUUGAGGUGUGUUUAUCAUUUGCUUGCUGCCUAUUUGAUGUCUUUAGGAUUGAGAAGGCUCUGGAACGUGUGUUUCUGUUUCCCCAUCUUAGGGUAGAGUUUUAUUCCUAUGUAAAUAUUCGUGAAUGUCAUAUGGUUGCUGUGGAUGGUACCUUCUGUCUCGGGUGGUUUUCUUCCACCUGUUUAAUGACUUUGCUCUUGGGUACUUGAAAUUGCAGAAGUACCUCUGCUUUAUUUUCAUGUGUGUUCCUGAGUUAGGUAACCCUGCUUGCUCAUGUAAUUGUUUCUGGAAGUCUGUAUUCAAGGCAGAGUGUUGUUUGAAAGCUGAACCAGACACUUGCAUGUUCCAAAGAAUUCUGCUCCUCGAGAGCUCAGUAUUCUGUACCUUUCCAGGCAAUUUCUAGCAUUCCACAGAUGUUCUUUAAUUCUUUUCUUUCCAAACACAUAGUUGACUGCCUUCAAUUCGAUUAUUGAGGCUAAGGAUUGGCUCCAUUGGGUUUGUCUAAUGAUUUCCAUCUUUGUCUUAAUUUCUUAAGUAUAUACACAAUCUGUGCUCUUACCACAGAUAGCGGCAAUUUUAUUUUUCCAUUUUCCACUAUUUUUAUAAAACAAUAAGAGCAGAAUGUACUUAAAUACUGGUUUUCAAAUACAGCCAAACCCUUUGUUCAGACCAAAUAGUACCCAGAAUCCCAAUAAGUAAAAUAGAUCAAAUCAAAACUGCCCCGUGUGGAGCUGGGCAGAGACCUGGAGCUGUAGGCACCAUCCUGACAGUGACGGGGUGAUGGGGUGGUGGGGUGGGAGGGUUGUGCCCCUCAGAAUACUGUCUAAAAACCUCUGCAAUGAGAUAUUUAAGCAAUUGCACAAGCAAACGGAACAAAUUGCUGCGUAUGCAGAACUGGGGAUCCUGUUGAUCAGGAGUUGAUUGCUGGCAUUCGGCCGCUAUGUAAAUUCCAUGGUUUUUUGAGAUGUUAGUGCAUGAUUGUGUGGGCUGCCUGAGAGUCAAACGCAUGAAAAUUGAGGCCUGUCCCUUGGAUUUGAGGGGGUCUUUUGAGUGAAUUUCUUUAAAGUGUGCCUCAAGUAGACAACAUACAGUUGGAUUUGAGAAUGUUUGGUGUGAAUUAAAAACUCCCUCUUUUAAGGGUGUGUAACUCAUUUACAUUUUUUUCCUGGAUUGUCUUGUCUGAAUGUAACAAUACUGCACUUAAUGCUGUUUUUUUUUUUUUUUUUUUUCUUCAUCCUUCUUUCUUUCCUGCUGUCUUUUAUUAUAUUAUACAGGCUACAUUUUUUCUUUAAAAUUUUUUUUUUCUUGAAUUUCUGUUGUGGCUCAGCGGUAACAAACCUGACCAGUAUCUGUGAGGACAUGGGUUCGAUCCCCGGCCUCGCUCUGUGGGUUAAGGAUCUGGCAUUGCUGUGAGCUGUGGUGUAGGUUAGAGAUGCUGCUCAGAUACUGAGUUGCUGGGGCUGUGGCAUAGGCUGGCAGUGGUAGCUCUGACUUGACCCCUAGCCUGCGCACCUCCACAUGCUGCUAGUGCGGCCCUAAAAAGCCAAAAAAAAAAAAAAUUCUGAUGAUUCAGAAAGCAUACAUCCAGUUUCUAAGUCUAUUAUUGCUCACAUCUCAGUUAAAACAAACAAACAAACAUGCUUACAUGUGUAUUUCCCAGUGGCUUUAAAAAAAAAAAAAAAA